rnacentral:lncRNA from 1 species
UAACACUCAGGCCGUCUGGCUAUGAAGUGACCCCCACCCCACAUCAGGACACCUUGGUUUGUGAAUUCAUCUCAGUUGGCUACAUUUUCUGGUCAGUGGAGUUGGAAUGAGAAAAAUCAAUCAGUGCCCUACCAAUGCAUCAUCCAGCAAGACUAAGAAAUCCUCAACUACUGGGACAAGGUGGGAGAAUAUUUCAUUUCUUUACCAGUGUCUGUCCUCUGGCUCAGUGACUCCCAGAACUUGACUCAUCAGAAAACCAGGGAUCCAUGACUCAAUGAGUGCUCCAGCUUGGGUGACUGGAAGCUCAUUCAGUCGGCUGGAGUCUCGGAGUCUCAGAGUGGAAAAGUGUGGCCCCAUCACCCAUCCAGGGUUAAUGUUCCUCCUCAACACGUGCAGCCUAGCCUAUGUUUUUCCUUCUCCAUGGGCAAGGAGAUGGCAGUGCCUUUGAGGUCAUUCACUCUGUCUUCAGACAGCUUCAAUCAACUGAAUUUGUUGCUAAACAUCCGAAUUCCCAACUAUAAGGGAUGGCUAAUAAAACAACUGGUGCUUCCAUUGAAUACCAUCUUGCCCUGAGUUCCCACAUGCCAUCAUGAUGACCAUCCCAUGCAAUUUGGAAUUUUGGCCCUAAAUGAUCUUUCUCAACAAAUCAGAUGUAGUACAACAUGAAGAAAUGGGAGUUUACCAAGAAAAUUGUGGAACACAAAUACCAGAGACCUGGGUCCUCACGUAACCUUUGCCUUUAACUCUUGCCUCUCUAGUUUUCAUUUUUCUAAUUGCAAAAUAAAAGUAUUAUCUCUGGGGGGCUGGCCCAGUUGCAUAGUGGUUAAGUUUGCGCGCUCUGCUUCCAAGGCCCAGGGUUCAUGGGUUCGGAUCCCAGGCGCGGACAUACACAUCACUAAUCAAGCCAUACUGGGGCAGCGUCCUGGAUACAAAGUAGAGGAAGAUUGGCACAGAUGUUAG